UACGGAGGGUGCGAGCGUUAAUCGGAAUUACUGGGCGUAAAGGGUGCGUAGGUGGUUUAUUAAGUUGGCUGUGAAAGACCUGGGCUCAACCUGGGAGGGUCAGUCAAGACUGGUAGACUUGAGUAUAGGAGAGGGUAGUGGAAUUUCCGGUGUAGCGGUGAAAUGCGUAGAGAUCGGAAGGAACACCAGUGGCGAAGGCG
rnacentral:rRNA from 1 species